AAGCAAUUUGCUCAUAGCCAUAGCUUUCUUGUGAAAGUAGGAUAUUAACCCAGGUGUCUUGGUGCUGGAGAACAGAACUGGCCAGAGUCCAUCCUGUCUCCCACCGGCAUCCCAUUACGAAAUGAACACAGAAAAGGCAGGUCUGCAAUGCCAACAUCUAGUAUCUAUCCCAAAGACCAGGGAGAAAGGAAGGAAAGAUUCUGGUUCUGUCCUCUUCCCCAAGGCAAGGCUGGCUGCCCUACCAACAGAGGCAAAGAGAAGAGUGUGCAAGGCUGGCUGCCCUCCCAACAGAGGCAAAGAGGAGUGUGUGUUGAAAUAUCCAUUGAAUCCCUGAGACAACUGGAUCCUGGCCCAUUGAAUCAUAAACUCAGCAGAAUCUCACAUCAUAACCCCAAAUGACCUGUUACUCACCAUGUGGCCCAGCUGUCUUCAAACUCACCAGCCUCCUGCCUUAGCCUUCUAAAUGCUUGGAUUACAGGCAUGACCCACCAUAACUGGCUUUGUUUUAGUUUCAGAGAAGAUGAAACUGAUGUGCGUCAAAAAGUAAACUACCCACAUUUUAACUGGGCACAUUCCUGUCAAUCUGAUGAGAAUCUAUUUCAUACCCUGCUUUAGCUGGUAGUCUGUCAAGGAAAUGAGCUGAACAUGUCUGUGUACAGCUUUUGUGCCAUCCCUGGAUGAGCGAGCUGUCUGCCUCUAUGUUCUCCACAAAAUGGAAUAUAGCUGUACACCCAAGCCAAGUUAUGGAGGCUGGGAAGACCUAGAAUGUGGCAUCACUAUUUGCUGAAAUUUUUAAUAUAAUGCCUCUUAGCCUGGUUUGGAGAAAACGUCACAGAGAGGCACCAUUUGUUGUGGUUUUACAUGAAAAUUUUCUGACCCUGAACCUGGUUUGAUGGAAAUCAUUUGCUGAGGUUAUUUAGAAAAUUGUUACCUCAAAAAUGACCUAGGGGUCCUUAGAAUAAUAACACACAGAAGAAUAGCCUCAUUUUUCUGUUGGGCCCAGGAAACCAUGCCGAUUACCGACCGAGCUCUCAAUGGAAAAAUGCAGUCGGCGUGAACCACGCACGAACACAGCAGAGAAAGAAGAAAACACACACCACGAGGAACCCUAAUAGGACAAUACAUUAUAAGCCUCAUGGUACAUCCACUUGGUGUGCUGGGAGAGUCAGGAUGAGGACCUGAGAAGAACAGCAGCUUGAACCUGACUUCAUUUAACAGCCCACUGCCCUCUUGCCAAGAACCCAUCACAGACCUUCCCAGAAGAGAGGGAUGAGCCUCACCUAUGAAUAAGUCCUCAGAAACUCAAAUUUGAUUCUAAUGGAUUGUUUUCUCAGAAAGACUGAGCAUGUCCCCCCACAUCUCUGUCAUUUCCCACAGUAGUAACCUCUGCAGAUGCCACAUAGAAAACAAAACAAAACAAAAAAACAUGAGGUUGGUGGGCAGAUAGGCAGGGUAUAAACAAACAGCCUUGUAACCCAGAAGCUGUGUGAUAUACAGUAAACUUCACAACACUGAAAAGAUGUCCUAUCUGUUAAAAUGGGGUAAUAACAACUACCCGAAUGUUUAGGAAUAGAACUUCAAUAAAUGAUACAUUUUAUAGUACAGCAGACCAUCCUGUAAAGGUUUCAUCCUUCACUGUGGUGAUAAAUAUCCCAAACCACAUUGAAAAGCAUUGCAUCUACAUUUAUCUACACUGUAACUGUACUGUAAAUCAUGGGGGAGGGGAGAAUCAUAAAAACACCACCUGUCACCGUGUCAUUAAAGCAAGUUGGAAGUGAUACUUACAGAAACACAGCAAGAGCACCCCCAGUCACACAGUUCAAUCUCUUAGCAAGCGUUUUCUUUCUAGCCCAGUGGUUCUCAGUUUGGAAUUUUUGGCACUGCCUAGAGAUAGUUUUGUUGUUAAAACUGAGAAAAGAGCCGGGCGUGGUGGCACACGCCUUUAAUCCCAGCACUCAGGAGGCAGAGGCAGG
rnacentral:lncRNA from 1 species